UUCCUUACAGACCCGGGUUGGCUUGAUGGUGGUGAUUCCCAACUGAUCCAUCCUCCAGCAUUUCUGCUGAUGUUUAUUAAGCAGACAGCAUUAAUUAACAGACAGCUCUCCUUCAGGAGCCUUCUGCCUACCGCUCAAGCUUCCUUCACGAAACAAGUGACUCAUGAUAAAUCUCUGGCUGGACUUCCCCUUUCUCAAAACACAGGAAGUUUGUGUGUUGGCAAUCCCGCGGGUGAACAAUUUCAGUAGCUCUGCUGUCAAUUUCACAAGAAGAGCACCUGGACAACACAAAGGGACCAAAGAAGUGUUUAUCUCAAAGUGAAUACGUGGGCAGUGGAAGGAGCAGUGGCCAAAUCAGGCGUCCCGGAGUCCAAACCGCCAGUCAAGUUAUAACAAC